AAAUUAUAAAUCUACGGUUACAUGCCAACAUCACGUACAGCAUUGAUACUCAACCUUAAUGAGCAAGAAACACUAGCCGUUUUAUACUGCGAAGUUCUUCUUCUGAUCUUCUCGGCGAAGCGCGCUAGCUCGCUCGCUGCAACAAUGGUUCUCGAGGCGACUAUGAUAUGUAUCGAUAAUUCCGAAUGGAUGCGAAAUGGCGAUUACUCUCCUUGUCGAUUUCAAGCUCAAGCAGA
rnacentral:misc_RNA from 1 species